GUCUGGCGGCGUGCUAUACAUGCAAGUCGAGCGAACAGACGAGGAGCUUGCUCCUCUGACGUUAGCGGCGGACGGGUGAGUAACACGUGGAUAACCUACCUAUAAGACUGGGAUAACUUCGGGAAACCGGAGCUAAUACCGGAUAAUAUAUUGAACCGCAUGGUUCAAUAGUGAAAGACGGUUUUGCUGUCACUUAUAGAUGGAUCCGCGCCGCAUUAGCUAGUUGGUAAGGUAACGGCUUACCAAGGCAACGAUGCGUAGCCGACCUGAGAGGGUGAUCGGCCACACUGGAACUGAGACACGGUCCAGACUCCUACGGGAGGCAGCAGUAGGGAAUCUUCCGCAAUGGGCGAAAGCCUGACGGAGCAACGCCGCGUGAGUGAUGAAGGUCUUCGGAUCGUAAAACUCUGUUAUUAGGGAAGAACAAAUGUGUAAGUAACUAUGCACGUCUUGACGGUACCUAAUCAGAAAGCCACGGCUAACUACGUGCCAGCAGCCGCGGUAAUACGUAGGUGGCAAGCGUUAUCCGGAAUUAUUGGGCGUAAAGCGCGCGUAGGCGGUUUUUUAAGUCUGAUGUGAAAGCCCACGGCUCAACCGUGGAGGGUCAUUGGAAACUGGAAAACUUGAGUGCAGAAGAGGAAAGUGGAAUUCCAUGUGUAGCGGUGAAAUGCGCAGAGAUAUGGAGGAACACCAGUGGCGAAGGCGACUUUCUGGUCUGUAACUGACGCUGAUGUGCGAAAGCGUGGGGAUCAAACAGGAUUAGAUACCCUGGUAGUCCACGCCGUAAACGAUGAGUGCUAAGUGUUAGGGGGUUUCCGCCCCUUAGUGCUGCAGCUAACGCAUUAAGCACUCCGCCUGGGGAGUACGACCGCAAGGUUGAAACUCAAAGGAAUUGACAGGGACCCGCACAAGCGGUGGAGCAUGUGGUUUAAUUCGAAGCAACGCGAAGAACCUUACCAAAUCUUGACAUCCUCUGACCCCUCUAGAGAUAGAGUUUUCCCCUUCGGGGGACAGAGUGACAGGUGGUGCAUGGUUGUCGUCAGCUCGUGUCGUGAGAUGUUGGGUUAAGUCCCGCAACGAGCGCAACCCUUAAGCUUAGUUGCCAUCAUUAAGUUGGGCACUCUAAGUUGACUGCCGGUGACAAACCGGAGGAAGGUGGGGAUGACGUCAAAUCAUCAUGCCCC
rnacentral:rRNA from 1 species